GGGGGGGGGGUAAAUUUUUCUCAUUUCAGAUUUCAUAAAAAAAAGAAAAUUUCUUCAAACAUUUUUUUGAGAGGAUUAAUAUUCAACAGCAUAGUGAAUUGCUCAAAGGCAAAAAAAAUAUUUUAAGUUCAUUAGACCACAUUCAUUCUGUGUCAGAAACCUAUGCUGUGUCAACUAUUUAAUCACAAUCCAAAUUUAGAGCUGAAUCCAACUUGAAUGUUGUGUCCAUACUUGCCCCAACCGUUCAGGGUUCAACCUCUGCGGUCGUAUAAAGCUGUGCCCUGAGGAGC
rnacentral:lncRNA from 1 species